rnacentral:rRNA from 1 species
AAGAGCUCAGAUUUGAAAUCGUGUUUCGGCACGAGUUGUAGAGUGUAGGCGGGAGUCUCUGUGGAGCGCGGUGUCCAAGUCCCUUGGAACAGGGUGCCUGAGAGGGUGAGGGCCCCGUAGGGUGCUGCGCGAAGCUUUUGAGGCCCUGCUGACGAGUCGAGUUGUUUGGGAAUGCAGCUCCAAGCGGGUGGUAAAUUCCAUCUAAGGCUAAAUAUUGGCGAGAGACCGAUAGCGAACAAGUACUGUGAAGGAAAGAUGAAAAGCACUUUGAAAAGAGAGUGAAACAGCACGUGAAAUUGUUGAAAGGGAAGGGUAUUGGGCUCGACAUGGGGGGUGCGCACCGCUGUCUCUUGUAGGCGGCGCUCUGGGCGCUCUCUGGGCCAGCAUCGGUUCCUGCUGCGGGAGAAGGGGCUCCGGAAAGUGGCUCUUCGGAGUGUUAUAGCCGGGGCCAGAUGCCGCGUGUGGGGACCGAGGACUGCGGCUUCUGUCUCGGAUGCUGGCAUAACGGCGCAAUACCGCCCGUCUUGAAACACGGACC